rnacentral:lncRNA from 1 species
UGGCUUCCUCCUGAGCACACUGGGAUGUGGCAUUACAUCGGGGCUGCUGAGUGCCCUUACCUUCAGCUGCCCAGAUGCAGAGGCAGUUCCACAAGGUACUGGCACAAGAAGAGUCGUGGAAGACUGACCUGGCCAUGGCUUCUCAUGUCCCAGCUCAGGACCUGCCACAUCAAUUCUCCCUUUCCUCUGGCCGUCACGUGUGGAGUGAAAUUCUCAGAAGCGGCUGUCCCUGUGCACCUCUCUGGCUGUGUCCAGAAAAUGAACAUCUGUUUACAGCUUCAAUUUUCUAAUGAUUAGAAUGCCACAAACAAGAAAACCCAGAGGAAAGCUGUUGAUGCUGAAAUGUUUCCUUCCUCUACAUAUUCCAUGAUGCGUCCUGUGGGGUUAUGCAA